GUAGUACUCCCUCCGUCCCGAAUUAGUUGUCUUAGAUUUGUCUAGAUAUGGACGUAUCUAGACGCGUUUUAGUGUUAGAUACGUCUGUAUCUAGACAAAUCUAAGACAACUAAUUUGGGAUGGAGGUAAUAUAAU
rnacentral:pre_miRNA from 1 species